rnacentral:rRNA from 1 species
UGAUCAGGGAAGACUACCCGCCUGAGUUUAAGCAUAUCA